AAUAUUGGACAAUGGGCGGAAGCCUGACGACGCAACGCCGCGUGGAGGAUGAAGAUUUUCGGAUCGUAAACUCCUGUCGAAUGGGACGAAUAGAUUGCGGGUUAACAGCCCGUGAUCCUGACGGUACCGUUAAAGGAAACCCCGGCUAACUUCGUGCCAGCAGCCGCGGUAAGACGAAGGAUGCAAGCGUUAUCCGGAUUCAUUGGGUUUAAAGGGUGCGUAGGCGGACUUGUAAGUCAGUGGCGAAAUCUCUCAGCUUAACUGAGAAACUGCCAUUGAUACUGCAGGUCUAGAGUACAGAUGAUGUGGGCGGAAUAUGACAUGUAGUGGUGAAAUACUUAGAUAUGUCAUAGAACACCGAUUGCGAAGGCAGCUCACAAAACUGUAACUGACGCUGAGGCACGAAAGUGCGGGGAUCAAAC
rnacentral:rRNA from 1 species